UACGAAGGGGGCUAGCGUUGCUCGGAAUGACUGGGCGUAAAGGGCGCGUAGGCGGAUGGCACAGUCAGAUGUGAAAUCCCCGGGCUCAACCUGGGAAUGGCAUUUGAUACGGGCGUACUGGAAUCCGUGAGAGGUUGGUGGAAUUCCCAGUGUAGAGGUGAAAUUCGUAGAUAUUGGGAAGAACACCAGUGGCGAAGGCGGCCAACUGGCACGGUAUUGACGCUGAGGCGCGAAAGCGUGGGGAGCAAACAGG
rnacentral:rRNA from 1 species